rnacentral:lncRNA from 1 species
GGAGAUGCACCCCGGUCCACGCCUCCUCAGUCCUUAGCCUCUUCAAGAGACUCGCCUGCCUUGCUGCCUAUGCUCCGCUCUGUACCGUACCUAGCUAUGGGACCGCUGAGCCGGGCGCUUCGAGUCCUCGAGGGAAGCCAGCGCCGAGCGGUCCCUGCGGAGUCAAGACCUCAGGGAACGGUCGGCGCUUCCAACGGUACCGUCGUUUGCUCUCAAGUUCUUAACCUAUCCAGAUUUCAGAAGGCCCCUGAUUUUUACUUCACGCAGGUACAGGGAGCUCUCUGAGCGACCAGUAGAAUAAGCAGGAAUGGUUGGUCAUUGAAGUGAAAAAAACCCAACCGGAGGGAUCGGCCGUUUACUCUGUUGUUCCAUAGAGGCAUAGACCAUAGGUACCUGUUCUUCGUUCAGUUGAUUUUGGGUAACAUUAGCUUUGGAGGACAGUCGCCUCCUCUGGCUCUGGGAUUUCUAUUGAGAGAAGUAGCUCCUCUCUAUUACCUUAAACAAGUCAGCCUUGUUUAGUUCCCAAAAAAUUUUACAAAAUUUUUCAGAUUCCCCGUCACAUCAGAUCUUUAGACGCAUGCAUAGAGUAUUAAAUAUAGAUGAAAAUAAAAACUAAUUGCAUAGUUUGGUCGGAAUUGAUGGGACGGAUCUUUUGAGCCUAGUUAAUCCAUGAUUGGACAAUAUUUUUCACAAACAAACGAAAGUGCUACAGUACCUGUUUUGCAAAAUUUUUUGGAACUAAACAAGGCCGAGAAAGAUUAGCAUCCAAAAAUCAUGAAAACCUGGCCAGCAUUGCCAAGUGGUGUCCUUCAGUGUCUCACAUUCUUUUAUUCAAAUGUAAAUACAAUAUAUGAAGCUGUUUGGCCAGCCCCGUUUAAACCAAAAUACUCCCAGGCUAAGGAUAAUAUGCUGAAAUCUACAUGAUAAAAACAAUUGUGCUCGUGCAAGGUUAAUUACUAAUUGAACCGAGCUAAAAUCUUGCUGAACUUGAUAUCCGCGAGCUAGGUAUCCUUUCACCUCUGUAAAUGACAAGUGAACCAUGACGCAUAACCGUCUUCAAUUGUUCGUGCAUCCCUCUACCUCUGUCUUCUUCUUGGCACCGGCUUUUUUCAUUUGCACCAUCUUUAGUUUCUUCUUGUGGCAAGAUUUGUUCCGACUCACCAUUUUCAGGUCCUACUUUCUUGUUUUUGCAGAAAUGGGUUAUCAAGGCGACCACAAGAGAAGUGGUUGAGGCAACUCCAGUAGCGAUGAUGGGUCCUGCAAAGCUGUCAAAGGUCAGGCUACCUGUACCAGAGAUGGUGCCCACAUUUUGGCAGUUAUUUUGAUCUCCUAUCCAUUUCUUCUCGAUUUGAAUGAUCGUAUCUCCCCCUGUUAUGUUCAGGAUUGCCUGUGAGAUGUCGCCAAUUAAGGGCGACCCCUUCUGGAAUGCCUAAGGAAGAUGAUAAACCCAGGUCAGUUUGUCCCAUCAGUGUGCAAACUGAAAUAAAGCUUUAUUUGAACUUGGUUACCCCAAAGUAAUGAACUUAAUAAACACAGUCAAACUUACAUAUCCAAAACCCGCAGUCUUAUAUAUUGGCCCAACCAUGGUGUAUCCCUUGCAGUGCUCUGCAAGAAAUAGUUUGAUGUAUGGGAUUUCAUCUACAUGGGCAGCAAUACCACCAUUCUUGCUUCCCUUGGAAAGUGCAUUGUGAUAAUCUUCAGGGGUUUCAUAGGGCUUGAUCUUUGAUGCGUCAAACCCAAGUUCUUCCAAAAGACCCUUGAUGUAGGAACCACGUGAAUACCCAACAGAUUCUCCGGUUUUUAGGAGUUCAUCGACAUUUGUUACAGUUGGUUGGAGCUGUUGCACAGUUAGCAUGGAUGUCAAGCUUGCGGUGUAGCUUGAUUUAAGUACCAUUAGGAAGAACAGCCAUAUGACCAAUACGAUCCGUGAGAUCAGGCGUUUCACCUUCUCUUCUGCAGAAAUUACAUUAUGAGUUAAUGCUAUUUCAGACAUCAUAAAUGAAAGUUCUGAAAAUAAAAAUUAAUUCAUCAAACUCGAGAUUUUGUUAUCUUUUCAGACAUAUGGUGGGAGUUAUUCUUUCUUGCUUUUCUAAAUUCGUAUUUGCCUAGUAUCUCUGUAUACACUGUUUGCCUUGGCUUCCUAUUUAGGCACAUUUGAGAUCGCUUAUGACCUUAGCAUGUUAGUGGAGACCUUGCAUAUGAUGGUAAUAUAUUCCUUCUUGCACUUUUAGAAUUUCAUACUGUUUGGUUAGUUCCCAAUACAUGAUUUGUCUCCUUGUUUACGCACUUGUGUGCUUAGGACAUGGCUUAAAAAGACAGCACAGUUAGUGGAAAACAUAUAAAAUACACAUUUCUUUUUCCAAGUUAUGGAAUUUUUCUGUAUGAAAGUCACUUGCCAGGAUAAAAAACAUAUCAACUUGAUCGUUAUGCUGUACAGGGAAAAAAGUAUUGUGAUAGGAACACUCAACUCUCUUCAAACAGUGAAAAAUAUAUCAUUGUAGCUAGCUGUCGUGGAAUUGGACCACGAACAUUCUUGUUGUCUCCUAGAUGCUCCAACAACCAUAUCACGAUGCCUGUGUAGAUAAAGAGUAUGAUGGUUCCAAACCACAUGCCUGGUGUCAGUGGCUUCAAAAAAAUCCAGGCAUUCUUGUUUAUGCUUUCCUUGACAGGGACAACCAUUGCUAUCCCUGAUUCAGUGUAUGGCAGAGUGAAGUCAACGUACAAACUUCUGUUGUACCUAAUUGUUAUGUCUCCAACUGCUAUGUCAUACUUCUGCCAGAGUGUAAGAGAAAAUUGUUUAACCAAGAGUGGGGUUGGAUGAAAGAACGAAUUGUGUUGAUGACAAAGUAAGGUUAUAAAAAGCUUAAGGCCUUGUUUGGAUGUAGUCGGAUUCACAUCAAUCCACAUGUGUUGAGGUGGAUUGGAGUGGAAUUUGAACUAAAUUCCACUCCAACCCACACCAACACACAUGGAUUAAAGUGAAUCCGACAACAUCCAAACAAGGCCUAAAUUUUCUUUUCUUCUAUUAUGGUUCUGUAACCAUUGACUAAACUAACACGAUUCAAAUAAUUGAAGUAGUUUGAAGUGACACCAUGAGUCCAUGAUAUGUAAUAUCAGAUCUUGGAAGAGCAUUUGUGCGACUUAUAUACUUUUGACUUGAAAAGGUAAACGUGCAAAGUAUAUGUUACCUUAAGAUAAACCUGGUAGACAAAAUCAUCAUAGCUAGAACUUACAUUCCCUGUUGUGUUAAAUACUACGUAUUCAUAAGGAAGUGCAUAAGGAAGUCGCUUUACUGCCUCUUCAAAUAUUUCAAUUGCAAGGCCGCUUGCUUUAACCAAACCUCUAAGGGAGUCUUCACUGGCAUCUAUGUAUUUUGGAAACCCUCCGCCUAUGACUAUACCAACUUGAAGCUUCUUGCCAUCUAUUGGAAUUUCCCAUCCUCUGGGCACCUCUGUUGAUUCUCCUGGCCAAAUCACGGUAUUCAAAUUAUAUGUGGUGCUCGAGUAUGUUGUGUUUGUUAUCCUUUGGUCUGAUAGCUGUGAAAUUCCAUUUUGUGUGGUACAAUACCCAAUCACUCUAUGUGCUUUUCCAACUACAUUUAUUAUUUGAAACAUGGAAACUUGCAGCUCCCCAUCUGAAAGAUCAAAGUAACCACUUAAGCCUUUGAAUUUUGUUUGCAAGAUUGCCUGUAGGAAUGCCAGACUCUUUCUUGAAUUUUCUAAGGUUCCUAAACUUGUUGAGUUUUUCAGUGCAGAUGGUCUUUGAGAUUUUUCUUCAGUAACCUUUGCCUUUUCUGCUGCUUGUGCCACCGCCCAGAUUGUAUCAUAGCUCCAUAGUCCAAAAACACUUAAUUUCAAUGUUGGGUCAUUUGGAUGAUCAUUUCGGGACCUCAUGUACCAUCUCAUGGUGAAAUUGUCAGUCUUGUUGAUUUAGGAACAUAGAACUGAACCCCCAAGGCACCAUUCAUUGCUUCCACAACUGAAGGAUUUAGUGAAUCUAUGAGAUUUGCUAGCCCAUCUGUUAUGAUCCAAACAAAUCCCUUCCUCAUCAUGCCAAUUUCCUUUGCUUUUGUGAAGAAGAGGGAGCCCAAGGAGGAGGCCAUGUGCACAACGAAGACCCUUGUUUGCAUUGUCAUCAGCUUGUAGAGUUCUUGAGUAAUUUGUUCACCUGUUGCUGAUUCAUCUAUUGCACUCCGAUAAGGAAUAUGGGCAUCUAUUCCUUCAAGGACAUUGAAAAGGUCUGGUAGUAUACCUCUACCAUAAUCAUUAUCUACAUAGAUAGGUACCACCUUUCUCCAUCCAUAGGCCUUGAUUAUGGAGGCAAUGCUACUCACUUGUGCAGAGUCACACGCUGUUGCUUGAACAAAAUAUGGAAGACUCUGGGAAGACAAAGACGUGCUUGUUGCUGUGAAUGAGAUAAUUGGAACUUGAUAUCUAUUUCCAAGAGCCGAUACGAACACAGCUUGAGAAGAUUUCUGUGGGCCGAUGAUAGCUUGGACAUUGUAGUUCUCCAGCAAUUCAAGAACUGUAGAAUUGCAUAUAGAGACAGCUUCAACUUUUUGAGGAACCAAAUUUCUUAUUAUUCAUAUGCUUUAUACCAGAAGUCCAGAACAGAAUCACUGACAUAUAACUUAUUAAAUUAGUAUUUUCAAGAUAUGGAUGGAUUAUUAAAAUUCAUUCACUACAUGGUUUAGUUGUAACUUAUGGCAAUGGAACAUCAGAAAGGUUGUCCCUGUAAGUUUGCACUGGCUAUCAUAUCAAUAAAGCUACUGUUAAAUUCAGUUCAAUUAUAAAAUGCAGCUACAUGCAUAGCUUUGUUUUCUCCGCACUGACGCAGUACUUGCAGUUAAGGAACUAUAGGGAUUAAAAAAAUUUGGUGCCACCAGAUGUAAACAUAUCAUGUUUUUCUGUUGCAUAAGUGGUUUUCAGGACAAGAUUGCCACUGCCUUCUAGCUAUACUAUUUCAGAAAAAAACCACACAUUGCAUGUUUUCUGCAUCAAAACUGCUCCAGAUUCCUUCUAGGUGCAUGCUAAAUUUCAGGUAAGAGUCUAUAUUGAAUAGUUUUUAAUUAGUCCUAUUGUUGCCACACAGGGAGUUAUAGAAUUGGAAGUAAAACAACAUUUUUGCCUCUUCACAUAUGGACUUCUCUGCUUAUUCUGUGUAACCUAUGUGGUAACAAAACAUAACCAUUUAAAUGGAACACAACAGAUUUAUGAUCCUUGAAAUGAUUUGUUGUGGAAAAGACCGAACUUCCAAAAUACCAAGUGUGCAAUCUGAUAAUCAAGUAAUCACUUACUCUAUCAACUGUUCCAUAUCUGACGAUGAAACUUACCUGCAGAUGCAGCUUGGACAUCAUCGCUUUUGGAGUCCCUGACGUGGAGGACAAGUCUCGUGGUGUGGUUCGGAUGGACAGUAUAGAAAUCUUCAACAGCAAUUGAAAUGCUCGUAUGUGCUACCUUGCCCACCGUUGUCCCCAAAUCAAGUACUACCCCUAUAUGGAAUUCUUCUACUUUGCUUUCUGUAGCAUUUUGGGCAACUGCAGCACUGAAUGCCAAGAGUAUGAGCAUUGUGAUCCUAACUCCUGUUGCCAUCUCGUGAACUAUGAGGUUUGCUGAAGAAUCUUUCUACAUUGGUGCACUAGUUAUAUAGGCAUAAGUUGUCAUCUCUCUUGUGAGUUAAACCGAGUCAAAUUUCUGUUAUACUGCUACCAGUACAUUAGUCUGAUUGAAGCUUGUCUUUUCGUUGCGAUUCCUGUCAAGAAUUCAACUGUUUGCUCGCCAGUCCUAGCUGAGGUUUUCUUUAUGCUCUGUACACACUUUUCAAAGCUGAGGCAUCAGAUAUUUCUAAUUUCUCCUCGAUUGGAUCGACAAGUGUAUGUACACUAUCAUCCUGGAGUAGUGGGAUGGAGACCUGGAAGUUGAAAGCCGAAGUCUUGUGCGGGUUCAAAUGCAAGUGAAAUUUCCCCGUGAAAUUCGUAGUGAGACCAGACCUUUCCAGUUGUAGCCGAGCCGAGUGAGUCUUUUGGGGUUGUUGGAACCUUGACUCGUUAUAUAUAGAAAUGAAAUACGGAGUAUUUGAAGUGAAGAGCGCGUGUACGUGGCAAUUUCUUUUGCGAGACUCAGUUACGG